rnacentral:rRNA from 1 species
UCCGUAGGGGGCUAGCGUUGUCCGGAUUUAUUGGGCGUAGAGAGCGUGUAGGCGGCCAGGUAGGUCCGGUGUGAAAACUCGAGGCUUAACCUCGAGAUGUCAUCGGAAACCAUCUGGCUAGAGUCCGGAAGAGGAAAGUGGAAUUCCUGGUGUAGCGGUGAAAUGCGCAGAUAUCAGGAAGAACACCAAUGGCGAAAGCAGCUUUCUGGGACGGUACUGACGCUGAGACGCGAAAGCGUGGGGAGCGAACAGG